CGGGGUAGAGGCCCGCCGCGGUAACGACGGGUAACGGGGAAUCAGGGUUCGAUUCCGGAGAGGGAGCCCGAGAAACGGCUACCACUUCCAAGGAAGGCAGCAGGCGCGCAACUUACCCUAAUCUCGAUUCGAGGAGGUAGUGACAAGAAAUACCGAUGCGGGGACCCUACGGGUGCCGCGUUCGGAAUGAGUACGAUUCGAACCACCUAACGAGGAACGAUCGGAGGGCAAGUCUGGUGCCAGCAGCCGCGGUAAUUCCAGCUCCAAUAGCGUACGUUAAAGUUGCUGCAGUUAAAAAGCUCGUAGUUGAACGUUCGGGUUCCGCGGGACGGGGCCGCCCCGCGAGGGACGGCGCCGCCCCGGGGCUCGUGAUAUCUCAUCUCGCCGCCCGUCGCGAGGCGGUUUACGGAGGGAUGGAUGAGGUUACCUGGAAAAAAUCGGGGC
rnacentral:rRNA from 1 species